rnacentral:tRNA from 1 species
GCGGGAAUAGCUCAGUUGGUAGAGCACGACCUUGCCAGGUCGGGUCGCGAGUUCGAGUCUCGUUUCCCGCU